rnacentral:rRNA from 1 species
GCGGCAGGCUUAACACAUGCAAGUCGAGCGGGGGAAGGUAGCUUGCUACCGGACCUAGCGGCGGACGGGUGAGUAACACGUGGGAACGUGCCUUUAGGUUCGGAAUAACUCAGGGAAACUUGUGCUAAUACCGAAUGUGCCCUUCGGGGGAAAGAUUUAUCGCCUUUAGAGCGGCCCGCGUCUGAUUAGCUAGUUGGUGAGGUAAAGGCUCACCAAGGCGACGAUCAGUAGCUGGUCUGAGAGGAUGAUCAGCCACAUUGGGACUGAGACACGGCCCAAACUCCUACGGGAGGCAGCAGUGGGGGACCUUGCGCAAUGGGCGAAAGCCUGACGCAACCAUGCCGCGUGAAUGAUGAAGGUCUUAGGAUUGUAAAAUUCUUUCACCGGGGACGACAAUGACGGUACCCGGAGAAGAAGCCCCGGCUAACUUCGUGCCAGCCGCCGCCGUAA